AUCCAGCUGAUGAGUCCCAAGUAUGACGAAGUGCUCAUCCUGGAU
rnacentral:hammerhead_ribozyme from 1 species